AGCUUGGACCAGGUUGCAGCAUUUAACGGACUUUUCUAGGUUUCCAGAGUAAUAGACUGAUGUCUACAGUGAGGGAUGCACAGCUCGUUCCUCUCACACCCUCGGGUGUCCGCCCCUCGCAAAGACUCGGGAUUGGAACCUACGAAGGCUUCCCAAAUGCUGACCCAGCCCUGCACCAAGCCGGCCCUGCACCAAGCCGGCUGCCAGAACCUCCCAGGAGCCGGUUUCGAUAGAGAGGCGUCGCUGUGCCGCAGAAGAACCAGCACAGUUUUGGGUGAGUCUGAAAGCCUUGAACUUCAUUUGUAGUAACCAGCUCUCUGGUGCACGCCGGCCACGCUGCUCUCAGACGCCCUCAGUCUGUCCCCUUGGGCUCCCUCCCUCCGGACAAACAAGUGAUGAGAUGAGAGCAGCACGUCUGAAGGUCCAGUGCAAGUCAGUGCCCGGGAGACAGUGUUUCGGAGACUGGCUGCACGACUGUCCUUCCCUCAGCCAGGACGGCCCCCAGGUUUGAAGGGCGUGUCCCCGUCCGUGACUGCUUACCGAGGGACCCUCUGUGACCGGCUUUCUGGGGGAGGUCAGAGGCAAAUGACCCCACCCAAGGCUGUCUACGAGGGAGACCAAGCUGCAUGUAGACAGUUCCAGGCUAAUAAAAACUGAUCAUAAAUUCCA
rnacentral:lncRNA from 1 species